UUCUCGAAUCGCAUGGCCUUGUGCCGGCGAUGGUUCAUUCAAAUUUCUGCCCUAUCAACUUUCGACGGCUGGGUCUUGGCCAGCCGUGGUUACAACGGGUAACGGAGGGUUAGGGCUUGACCCCGGAGAAGGAGCCUGAGAAACGGCUACUACAUCCAAGGAAGGCAGCAGGCGCGCAAAUUACCCAAUCCCGACACGGGGAGGUAGUGACAAUAAAUACUGAUACAGGGCUCUUUUGGGUCUUGUAAUUGGAAUGAGUACAAUUUAAAUCCCUUAACGAGGAACAAUUGGAGGGCAAGUCUGGUGCCAGCAGCCGCGGUAAUUCCAGCUCCAAUAGCGUAUAUUAAAGUUGUUGCAGUUAAAAAGCUCGUAGUUGAACCUUGGGCCUGGCUGGCCGGUCUGCCUCACCGCAUGCACUGGUCCGGCCGGGCCUUUCCCUCUGGGGAUCCGCAUGCCCUUCACUGGGUGUGUCGGGGAACCAGGACUUUUACUGUGAAAAAAUUAGAGUGUUCAAAGCAGGCCUAUGCUCGAAUACAUUAGCAUGGAAUAAUAGAAUAGGACGUUGCGGUUCUAUUUUGUUGGUUUCUAGGACCGCCGUAAUGAUUAAUAGGGACAGUCGGGGGCGUCAGUAUUCAAUCGUCAGAGGUGAAAUUCUUGGAUCGAUUGAAGACUAACUACUGCGAAAGCAUUCGCCAAGGAUGUUUUCAUUAAUCAGGAACGAAAGUUAGGGGAUCGAAAACGAUCAGAUACCGUUGUAGUCUUAACCAUAAACUAUGCCGACUAGGGAUCGGGCGAUGUUAUUUCUUGACUCGCUCGGCACCUUACACGAAAGUAAA
rnacentral:rRNA from 1 species